UUCCCAGAAGCCCUCGGGCCCUUGGGGAGGGACGGGCACUGUUCCCCAGAGCAGUGCAAUCAAUGCUGGGAAACUGAAGCUGCGAGUGUCCGAGGGACCCUGGGAUGUCUCUGGGGUCUGCGUAGGUACCCAUGGAGGAGCAGAGAUGGUGGAUGAAGGAGGCCGUGGAGGAGAAAAGAACACAGGAAUUUACCAGAAAUUGGCAGGCUGUGGAAUUGAUGGAGUCCACUUACUGUCCAGGCCUAAGGGGUCCAAUAAUCCCAUCCUUUGCCGAAAGCUUUACUGUGGGACUGGCAUCAUUUCAAGCAUUUAAUCCUCGUCCCAACUCUACGAGGAAGACAGGGUCUCGCUUUGUCACCCAGGCUGGAGUGCAAUGGUGCAAUCACAGCAUACUGCAGCCUCAACCUCCCAGGCUCAAGCAAUCCUCCCACCUCAGCUUCGGUCUCCCUCUCAUGCUGAGCCAAACCUGGACUGUGCUGCUGCCAUCUCGGCUCACUGCAACCUCCCUGCCUGAUUCUCCUGCCUCAGCCUGCCGAGUGCCUGCGACUGCAGGCGCGCGCCACCACACCUGACUGGUUUUCGUGUUUUUUUGGUGGAGAC
rnacentral:lncRNA from 1 species